AGCCACAGCCAUAUCACCCUGCAGCACAAGACUGGUUACUCACUGAAGCUAAGCAGAGCUGAGGCUGGCCAGUACCUGGAUGGGAGACCACAUUAGAAAACCAGGUUGCUGUUGGAA
rnacentral:rRNA from 1 species